CUGGAUGGGAGGAAGAGAACAGCCCACCCCCUGCAUGUCCCCUGGCUGCCUUACCAACUCCUAGUUGCACAGCUACAUGGCACCCUAUGCCCAUCUGGGCUGCAGCCUUUGCUGCUGCAGCUAGAGUGGAAGUGGGCAGUAUGUGGCUGGGCUGCUGGAAACAAAGCAGUAGUGGGCAGAGUUGAUCUGCUCCUUGCCCACUGCCUGUCAUUCUGUGCCCCCUCCUCACCUCUGAGACUCUGUCCCCUGGCUCUUGUCACAAGCUGUUCAUAAUACCAAGGUUAUAAAAAUGCUGUGCAAUUAAAGAAAAAAGAAACAGGAAAGGCUUUUGAAAACAGCUUUGAGAUGGUGAAACAGAGGCGAAGAGAAAGUACACUGUGGCCCACAGGCAAAGUGCUGAGAAUCACACUUCCUUACCCCACAUAGCAUCUCGGUUUCCAGCUUGAACUCACCAACAAAGACUUUACCCAAAACUUUAGGACCGAUAACCAUGAGUGCUGGAGCCCAAAUGACGAUGGCACCGCAGAAAGUAAGCAAGUCUGGAAAUGUGCUGUUGGGAAUUCUCAGGCCCCGGCCAAACUCACUCAGACUCUUAGCAGAGGCUACUACCAGGGCCCCAGGGAGAGAAAAGAGCCCAGAAGACUUAAUAGGCUCUGAUUUUUCAGAAAUAAAAGCAGAAGGCUUG
ensembl:lncRNA